CGUCGGUGUGACUGCUGGACCUUUCGCCCCGCAUCUGUGAGCUCGGAGACGCUGUGGCUGCGGGCAGUUGCUGCGUCGGGAACCAGGGGGGAGCUGAGCCUGGCUGGUUUGUGAUCAGCACUGCCUCCAGCCUCAGACAGUCUGUAGUGUGCUCUAGUCACUUGGUGACAAGGACUGUGGUGGAAGUCAACCUGACCACGGACUGUUGCUCAAGAGAGCCAGUAGUGAAGACACGCUCAAUAAGCCUGGAAGUACUUCUUCAUCAGGGAUAGUGCGGC